rnacentral:ncRNA from 1 species
UAUAUCCAAGCAGGAGAGCGCGCUUUAUUUAAGCGCCGCCGAAGGCGUAACCCCCCCGGAAUCGCUCAGGUAUAGUUAUGAAAACAGCAUUGACUAA